AGAUUGAACGCUGGCGGAAUGCUUUACACAUGCAAGUCGAACGGCAGCACGGGGGCAACCCUGGUGGCGAGUGGCGAACGGGUGAGUAAUACAUCGGAACGUGCCCAGUCGUGGGGGAUAACUACGCGAAAGCGUAGCUAAUACCGCAUACGAACUCUGGUUGAAAGCGGGGGAUCGCAAGACCUCGCGCGAUUGGAGCGGCCGAUGGCAGAUUAGGUAGUUGGUGGGGUAAAGGCUCACCAAGCCGACGAUCUGUAGCUGGUCUGAGAGGACGACCAGCCACACUGGGACUGAGACACGGCCCAGACUCCUACGGGAGGCAGCAGUGGGGAAUUUGGACAAUGGACGCAAGUCUGAUCCAGCCAUUCCGCGUGCAGGAUGAAGGCCCUCGGGUUGUAAACUGCUUUUGUACGGAACGAAAAGGCGCUUUCUAAUACAGAGCGCUCAUGACGGUACCGUAAGAAUAAGCACCGGCUAACUACGUGCCAGCAGCCG
rnacentral:rRNA from 1 species